rnacentral:lncRNA from 1 species
UGAGUGCUAACAUGUCUGCUCUCGAAUUCACCCGUGAAUCAUAAUACAGACUGGUCAGUGGUCAACAGUGCAUGAUUUGGGGGCCCUGGCUUCAACUGGAAGCCACGCCUGGCUGAGUCAGGGGGGCUCCCGUAUCCCCCGAUGCCCCCCUGACUACAUACCACAGAUGAACAGGAUCUUUUGUUGCUAUGGUGGUUAGAUGUCCUUUUUUGCUUUUUUGUCUGUUCCCAUUUCUGCUUGCUUUUAACAGAAAGAGUCUUUGGCCCAUUUAGGGGGGGUUUACAUCACAACAUGUACACGAAUAAAAUAUGCACGUGCCCUGUGGCCAGUGCCUUGCCCCUGCCCCAUCGGUUCAGCCUCAUCACCAAAUCACU